rnacentral:rRNA from 1 species
AUUGAACGCUGGCGGCAGGCCUAACACAUGCAAGUCGGACGGCAGCACGGGCUUCGGCCUGGUGGCGAGUGGCGGACGGGUGAGUAGCGCUUGGGAAUCUGCCUGGCAUUGGGGGAUAACUCGGGGAAACUCGAGCUAAUACCGCAUACGCCCUGAGGGGGAAAGCAGGGGACCUGCUUGCAGGCCUUGCGAUGCUGGAUGAGCCCAAGCCGGAUUAGCUGGUUGGUGGGGUAAAGGCCUACCAAGGCGACGAUCCGUAGCUGGUCUGAGAGGAUGAUCAGCCACACUGGGACUGAGACACGGCCCANACUCCUACGGGAGGCAGCAGUGGGGAAUAUUGGACAAUGGGGGCAACCCUGAUCCAGCCAUGCCGCGUGUGUGAAGAAGGUCUUAGGAUUGUAAAGCACUUUAAGUCAGGAGGAAGUGCCGCUGGCGAAUACUUGGCGACAUUGACGUUACUGACAGAAUAAGCACCGGCUAACUUCGUGCCAGCAGCCGCGGUAAUACGAAGGGUGCGAGCGUUAAUCGGAAUUACUGGGCGUAAAGCGCGCGCAGGCGGUUCGAUAAGAAGGAUGUGAAAUCCCCGGGCUCAACCUGGGCACUGCAUUUUUAACUGUCGGGCUAGAGUACGGUAGAGGGUGGUGGAAUUUCCCGUGUAGCGGUGAAAUGCGUAGAUA